rnacentral:misc_RNA from 1 species
ACAAAUCAUGCGCUGGCCUUUUGGCCGCGUACAUUCACCCAGAGCCCUACGUGAGUGGGGUUCUUGUGGUUCGGGGCUGUGUGUUGUGCGGUGCGUGCUUUGCAUGCACAUGCACACAUACGCACGCCCCAAAACAUAGACGCUUGUAUGUUUGACUGUAUCAUUGGCAACAAAAUGGA